rnacentral:rRNA from 1 species
GAUGAACGCUGACAGAAUGCUUAACACAUGCAAGUCUACUUGAUCCUUCGGGUGAUGGUGGCGGACGGGUGAGUAACGCGUAAAGAACUUGCCUUGCAGUCUGGGACAACGUCUGGAAACGGACGCUAAUACCGGAUAUUAUGAUUGAAUCGCAUGAUUUGAUUAUGAAAGCUAUAUGCGCUGCGAGAGAGCUUUGCGUCCCAUUAGUUAGUUGGUGAGGUAACGGCUCACCAAGACGAUGAUGGGUAGCCGGCCUGAGAGGGUGAACGGCCACAAGGGGACUGAGACACGGCCCUUACUCCUACGGGAGGCAGCAGUGGGGAAUAUUGGACAAUGGACCAAAAGUCUGAUCCAGCAAUUCUGUGUGCACGAUGAAGUUUUUCGGAAUGUAAAGUGCUUUCAGUUGGGACGAAGUAAGUGACGGUACCAACAGAAGAAGCGACGGCUAAAUACGUGCCAGCAGCCGCGGUAAUACGUAUGUCGCAAGCGUUAUCCGGAUUUAUUGGGCGUAAAGCGCGUCUAGGCGGUUUGGUAAGUCUGAUGUGAAAAUGCGGGGCUCAACUCCGUAUUGCGUUGGAAACUGCCAAACUAGAGUACUGGAGAGGUGGGCGGAACUACAAGUGUAGAGGUGAAAUUCGUAGAUAUUUGUAGGAAUGCCGAUGGGGAAGCCAGCCCACUGGACAGAUACUGACGCUAAAGCGCGAAAGCGUGGGUAGCAAACAGG